GGAACAUUUAUUAAAUACAAAGGGAAAAUAUUUGUUCCAACUUGGGUGGAUCGGGUAGUACAGCAGUGGUCGUUUUUAGACCUGGGCAGGGAAGAUGGUGUGGAUGGUGUGUAGUUGUAGUUUGUUAGUUGGUAGUUGUAGUUUGUUAGAUGGUAGUUGUAGUUUGUUAGAUGCUUGUUGUAGUUUGUUAGUUGGUAGUUGUAGUUUGUAAGAUGGUGGUUGUAGUUUGUUAGAUGGUAGUUGUAGUUUUAGACUCACUUGGGCGGGGCAGGCAGGAUGGUUUGGUAGUUGUAGUUUGUUAGAUGGAAGUUGUAGUUUGUUAGAUGCUUGUUGUAGUUUGUUAGUUGGUAGUUGUAGUUUGUAAGAUGGUGGUUGUAGUUUGUUAGAUGGUAGUUGUAGUUUUAGACUCACUUGGGCGGGGCAGGCAGGAUGGUGUGGUAGUUGUAGUGCUGCUGCUGCUGGUUGAGGAUCUGUAGCUGGAGGAAGAGCUGCUGCUGCUGGAGGAUCUUGGCGUAGGAGGAGUCCAGCUGGGGCGGCGGCUCCUUGUCCGCCUUCUGGU